UAUCCAGAGAUGAAACGUCCUUCUCGUAGCUCUGGUGGAAGUGGCUAGAGUCAACUAGGAGUCAUCGAUAUGGCAAGACAUACAACUAGUCCUGACUGGUGUUGGCUCCGAUAGAGAUCCUUCAACGAUCAAGUAAAAAAACUAGAAUAGGUGAGAAGGAAUGUGAGGAUGUGAGAGGGUGCAUGUAUGCAUACCUAGAGAUUUCUUUUUUUACCUCUAUUUAUAGGGAACA
rnacentral:lncRNA from 1 species